rnacentral:tRNA from 1 species
GGUCCCGUAGCUCAAUGGCAGAGCAUCCGGCUUACACCCGGCGUGUGCAGGUUCGAUUCCUGUCGGGACUA